rnacentral:rRNA from 1 species
GCUUCUACAGCGAAACUGCGAAUGGCUCAUUAAAUCAGUUACGGUUUAUUUGAUGACUUGUGACACGGAUAACUGGGGAAAUUCUUCAGCCAAUACGUGCUUCUAAGCCGACUUUGUGGAAGGUGAGUAUUUGCUCGAUUCUGAACCAACCCAGAUCUUCUGGGCUUUAAGUUGAGCGGAGAGUAAAUCUGUCCAAUCGCAUUGCACCGCGAUGCGAUGCAUCAUUCAAGUUUCUGACCUAUCAGCUUCCGAUUGUAGGGUAUUGGCUUACCAUGGCGAUGACGGGUAACAGCGAAUUUGGGUUCAGUUCUGGAGAGGGAGCCUGAGAAACGGCUACCACAUCUAAGGAAGGCGGCAGGCGCGUAACUUACCCGAUUCUGACACGGAGAGGUAGUGACAAGAAAUAACGAUACAGGGCAUUCAUGUCUUGUACUUGGGCUGAGUAGAAUGUAAACGACUCUAUGAGUAUCAAUUGGAGGGCAAGUCUGG